rnacentral:lncRNA from 1 species
GCUUUCAACUGGUGAGCAGCACGACCUUCUCCGACGUCUCCAUACGGCCUCAGCAGCCGAGUUUAGUUUUAUUCAUCGUUCAUGGGCUUACAUAUGUACUUUUGCGUUCUUGAAACAUCGCGGGUGUAAUAUUGCAGUCCUAGCUGGCCAAGUUGUGGACGAGGCAGGAGUCCUUGGAGGAUGUAACACCCUAAAAAUUCACUUUUCCAAAUAGGCUAAUUGAUUUAAUUAUCUGAUGUGGGCACUAAAGAAUAGUAAGAAAAUAAUUUUUUUGGAAUAAAAUUCACUAUAGGAUCUAGAAACAUGUAUGUGCAUUCAUGCUGCUGCAUGUAUUUUGUGUGUGGAGUUUCUCCUUUCAAAUUUGUUUUGCUUUUCUUUUCAAAAUGUUUGAGCAAGAUUUAAAUUGGAAAAUGGAAAAAAAAAAAAAAGAAAUUCCCUUCCUACCCGACUUGGGCUUGGCCCAACCCUUUUUUUUCCCCCCCGCGGCCUGCUGUUCCCUUCCCCCUUUCCCCUCCUUGCUCCGGCCCAGCGCCAGUCGGCCCGCCUCGCGGCCCAGGAGGACAACCAGCGCCGCGCACCUCCUCUCCCUUCGCCGCAGCAGAUGACAGGCCGACCCCACGUUUCCGUGUCACCGACAGGUGGGGCCCAGCGGUCAGGGUCGUCUCCCACCUUGAGUCCGAGCCGGACACGACCGAGCGCAACCAAAUCGCGCGCGUUUCGCGCGAGCAGUCCCUUCUCCGCCUGCCUCUCCCCCUUUAUAUACUCGCCCCGAUGCCCGCAACCCCCUAUCUUUACCCGAGCACCAGCCGCCACGUUCAAGCUCGCUAAAUCGCCGCCGAGAUCCACGUCGCAGCCAAUCCGCCAUUGCAGCGCGUCCCAAGCCUUGUGAGCGACUUGCCGGCCUUCUUCUCCGUCGUGCGAAGUCGCGGGAACCUUCCUUUCACGCUCUACUGCUUCGUGUUUGUCGCUAAUGUUCGCCGAACCUUGUUCCAGGGUCGCCGUCCGCCGUUUGCCG